UGUUUCCCGCCAAGCCUGAGGCGACCCGCGCGCGCCCGGACGCCCCGAGGCAGCCGUCGGACCAAAGGGAAAGGAGACAUUGAAAUUCAUCAAGAGAAGAGCAACAUCAGGCAGAAUCUGGGGGGGUCCAGAUUGAAGAGCAGCACAGCCCAGAUGAUGUUACCUCCUCCCAGUUUCAUGUUAGAUGUCGAGUGUAGUCCUGCUGCUUUCCACGGACUCAGUCUGGAGCUAAGAUGAACUCCACCCUUAAGGGAAGAGUAACUCCGACUUGGUGAGAGGUCAAACUCAGAGCACCACCUCAACCACCUAACUAGGAGAAUCUAAGACUUUUGCCACAAGUUCUACGAGACCAUGAAUGCAAAUGGAUUGUAACUUUGAAAGAAGAGGAGUAACUACUCUGUUUAUUCGCCUUUGCUUAGGGUGGUCCCCAGGAAAGGGGGAAGUUCCAGGUUCCCUGCCCCACCCAAAGGAGGGUGGAGCUGAGCAGGGAGAGGAGAAGCUGCAGAAGAGACUGAGGAAGGAAGCAGGAUGGAGCCAGAAGGAGACCUGGAGGAGGCGCAUGGAGCCUAGAGACAUGUGAAGAAACUGCGCUUGUCUUUUGGUCGUGGACUGGGUGACACAGAUGUGGGUGAGACCCGUGGGGAGGUGACCAUGGCAGCUUUUAUCUUGAUGUUGAUUUUGCUCUUUUCCUUCCGGGCUUGUCUGGUUGUUUCUGAUCCUUUUCUGUGGGUCCCCACUGGAAGAUGCUUUAGACUUGUGGCAGGCUUUGGGGCCUUGCUCUGGGCCGAUCCCAUAUGGAUGGACUUUUACCCACGAGGGGAUGGGUCACUUUGGGUGCUUCAUUUAGAAACUAGACUCUUUGCCUUUCCUGUAUUGUUUCCUAGUUUUAUUAAAGUUCCUUCCCAUUAAAGUCUCAUAUGUUUUGUGUUGAUGCGGCGGAUGGCAGAACCCAUUUAGAAUAGGCA